rnacentral:sRNA from 1 species
UUAGCUAUUAUUAUAAUAAAUAAAAGAAAAAGAAUAAGUAAAAUAAUAAUAAUAUUCUGACCGCUUGCAUGCUUCUUUUUCUUUGCCUUGCGCUCUCUUCGGGGGGAAAAUAAAAUGGAAUAAUAGAAUAAAUGCCGAAUAAAUGCAAACCAGGAACUGGAACUGGAUGAAAAAAAAAAAAAAAAAAAAAACAGCCCAUUUUCAAAAGCAAAGAUCACCAGCACGGAUACCGCUGAAACGAGGAAAAAAGCAAGAAAAAGAAAAGAAAAGAAAAAACGAGAAAAGGAGGAGGGCAUACAUCAUUCCUUGCGUAGGCGGGAACAGAAGGGCUGCAUGCAUCUGCCAGGAUCUUAGGAUCCUAUA